rnacentral:piRNA from 1 species
GUUGAGAUGAAGAAGCCCUGAUU